rnacentral:rRNA from 1 species
AUCAAAAACAUCGCCUCUUGAAAGACUAAAAAUAAGAGGUCGUGCCUGCCCUGUGAAUUAGUUUAACGGCCGCGGUAUUUUGACCGUGCAAAGGUAGCGCAAUCACUUGUCUCUUAAAUGGAGACCUGUAUGAAUGGCGUGACGAGGGCUUAACUGUCUCCUCCUUCCAGUCAAUGAACUUGAUCUUCCCGUGCAGAAGCGGGAAUUAAUACAUAAGACGAGAAGACCCUAUGGAGCUUUAGACAUAAAGAUAGUUCAAGGACACUGUACCUUUAAAAGAAUAAAACAAGCCAUGUUUACUACCUUUCGUCUUUGGUUGGGGCGACCGCGAAGAAAAAUUUAUCCUCCGCGACGGACUGGGAGCACCCUCCUAAAACCAAGAGCGACAGCUCUAAGCAACAAAACUUUUGACUCUACAGAACCGGUCAUGAACCGAUUAACGGACCGAGUUACCCUAGGGAUAACAGCGCAAUCCUCUUCUAGAGACCUUAUCGACAAGGGGGUUUACGACCUCGAUGUUGGAUCAGGACAUCCUGAUGGCGCAGCCGUUAUCAAGGGUUCGUUUGUUCAACGAUUAAAGUCCUACGUGAUCUGAG